UUGUCGGCGGCGGAACGGAGAAGAGGAGGAAGCUGUUCCAUGAGACGACGACAACGAUGUCGUUUUUCGAGGAGGUGAAUCGGGAUGAGGUAGAGUCUUUCUUCCGGUCUGUAGGUAGCAAUAGUGAUCAUCAGGAUCCUUCUGGUGCGGAGAAAGGUAGUGUUGUAAUUAACGGUGAGGAGGAGGGUGAGUCUAGUAGUUGUAGCAAUAAACCUAGUCGCCGGCGGGAUAAAAGUCGGCGACGCCACAGUUUCUAAUUUGGGUAUUACAUGUGUAUAGACAUAUGAUUCAUGUUUUAAUUACUUUUUUAGAUGUAUACAUAUACAACUUUGAAUUUGAUGUAACUAUUUGUUGAACUAAUUGAAGUCUAAUUUCAUGAUUAGUUUGAUUAUCCCUAAUUAGUGUGAACAUAUAUAUUAGGAUGUGUGUUUUGAGUUUUGACAUGAACUCUUGGUUUUCUUUCAGUUGAGUUAUGGAUUUUGAUGGAUUGUAUUACGGAAGUUUGCGAAAAUAUAUAGUUUUGUUUGAA
rnacentral:lncRNA from 1 species